AAUAAAGCCUACAAUAUGUUAGAUAUAUUAAGUAUUUUUUCCACUAUUUUUCCUUCUAGUGUAUGUAUUGCUGUUUUUUAAGAUUAUCUCGAAAGAGUUUUGAUAAAUGUUGAGUAGUUUAGCAUAACUGUACUCUUUCGAGGUAAUCUUAAAAACGUCAAUACAUACACUAGAAGGAAACAUAGUGGAAAAAACUUUAUUUAAAUAUAUCUAAUGCAUUGUAGGCUUAUUUCAUCAAAUUUGAGAUAGUAUUUGGGGAGAUAUUAACACAGUUGUAAUUAUUAAAAAUACAACCGAUUUCAGUCACUACAUUGUUUUGUGACAUAGAUUGGUCACAUUCCAUGUAUUAUUCAAGUCCAUGGAGGCAGGAGAGCUCUAGCUCAGGAAAACCAGCCAAAUGAGCAACCAGAGCUUUCCAACUCGGUAUCAGCUGCUGCGUUAUUAAGAAGAUUCUGGACUAUGAAAUAUUGCACCACCAAGGUACAUGUGGUAGAUAUAAUGGGUAAGCGAAGCUUUCCUGUCCUGGACGCAGGAGCCCAUGGCAGACGUGGGCUACAACAGAUAGCUCUGAAUAAUAUAUGCCUAGAUGACCUGACCUGACCUGUGUGUCCACCGAGGAGGAUCGAUCCUACAACCAAUUACACCUAAGAUGGGACCUCCCACAGGGCUACAAUGCACUUCCUACAAGUAACAUACCUGACAGUGAUAUUGGAUUUACUCGACGUCCCCGCUAUGCUUGGCACAUUUUAAGUGUAAGUAUUUGGAGUCUUAAGAUAUUAGCAGGGGUGCAGAAAUGAAAAAUAUUUCACAAGAACCAACUAAAAUGUACUAGCCCACCAGAAUUUCUAAUAGUCCGCCAGCCUAAAAAACAUAUUAGUGUUUAAUAAUAUUAUAAUACAUACACAAUUUUUCUUUUCUUCAAAUUGCCAUUAGUCGGGAAAAGACUGACCACCCGUUGGACUGGUAAUUGUAUUUUUUAACUAGUCUGUGAGACAUUUUACUCUCAUUUGGCGAGCAGAUGAGUACUAUCUGCACCCCAGUUCUGGUAUAGUUAUAUCAACACCUGUUGAAGGAAAAGAAGAAAAGAGGGAGCUCUAGACCUAUGCAACCACAUAUGCUACUCAUUAACUACUAACCUCAAUCCUGGACAGACAGCUCUGAUAGUUGAAGUGCAUGCCCAGGACAUUGUGCUUGAACUGUAAUUGGAUUAAAAUAUUAAAAUAUAUAUAUAUACAUGUAUAUACCUGUAUAUAUAGUGUUGGUAGAUGCACAAUAGUUUGUGCAAAAAGAAUUCAACUGAUUAGUUUUUAUGUUGUUUUAAAUAUACUCUUGUCUUAAUUAUUUCAUGUUACUUCAUGUUGUCUUUGUAAAUAAAAAAACAAAAACAUACCAGUACAAUGCAUCAUUUAUUUCAUUGUCUUUUAAGCCGGUUAUGUAUAGGUUAUCACCAGACACAGCCAGUCGUGGCUGUGCAAAGAUAAAUGAUUUGAUAUGAAUUUUCCGUCUGUACAAAACAUCGUUGUACCUAGGUUGUGAUGAA